UUAAUGAGGCGAACCGGGGGAACUGAAACAUCUAAGUACCCCGAGGAAAAGAAAUCAACCGAGAUUCCCCCAGUAGCGGCGAGCGAACGGGGAGCAGCCCAGAGCCUGAAUCAGUGUGUGUGUUAGUGGAAGCGUCUGGAAAGGCGCGCGAUACAGGGUGACAGCCCCGUACACAAAAAUGCACAUGCUGUGAGCUCGAUGAGUAGGGCGGGACACGUGGUAUCCUGUCUGAAUAUGGGGGGACCAUCCUCCAAGGCUAAAUACUCCUGACUGACCGAUAGUGAACCAGUACCGUGAGGGAAAGGCGAAAAGAACCCCGGCGAGGGGAGUGAAAAAGAACCUGAAACCGUGUACGUACAAGCAGUGGGAGCACGCUUAGGCGUGUGACUGCGUACCUUUUGUAUAAUGGGUCAGCGACUUAUAUUCUGUAGCAAGGUUAACCGAAUAGGGGAGCCGAAGGGAAACCGAGUCUUAACUGGGCGUUAAGUUGCAGGGUAUAGACCCGAAACCCGGUGAUCUAGCCAUGGGCAGGUUGAAGGUUGGGUAACACUAACUGGAGGACCGAACCGACUAAUGUUGAAAAAUUAGCGGAUGACUUGUGGCUGGGGGUGAAAGGCCAAUCAAACCGGGAGAUAGCUGGUUCUCCCCGAAAGCUAUUUAGGUAGCGCCUCGUGAAUUCAUCUCCGGGGGUAGAGCACUGUUUCGGCAAGGGGGUCAUCCCGACUUACCAACCCGAUGCAAACUGCGAAUACCGGAGAAUGUUAUCACGGGAGACACACGGCGGGUGCUAACGUCCGUCGUGAAGAGGGAAACAACCCAGACCGCCAGCUAAGGUCCCAAAGUCAUGGUUAAGUGGGAAACGAUGUGGGAAGGCCCAGACAGCCAGGAUGUUGGCUUAGAAGCAGCCAUCAUUUAAAGAAAGCGUAAUAGCUCACUGGUCGAGUCGGCCUGCGCGGAAGAUGUAACGGGGCUAAACCAUGCACCGAAGCUGCGGCAGCGACGCUGAUGCGUUGUUGGGUAGGGGAGCGUUCUGUAAGCCUGCGAAGGUGUGCUGUGAGGCAUGCUGGAGGUAUCAGAAGUGCGAAUGCUGACAUAAGUAACGAUAAAGCGGGUGAAAAGCCCGCUCGCCGGAAGACCAAGGGUUCCUGUCCAACGUUAAUCGGGGCAGGGUGAGUCGACCCCUAAGGCGAGGCCGAAAGGCGUAGUCGAUGGGAAACAGGUUAAUAUUCCUGUACUUGGUGUUACUGCGAAGGGGGGACGGAGAAGGCUAUGUUGGCCGGGCGACGGUUGUCCCGGUUUAAGCGUGUAGGCUGGUUUUCCAGGCAAAUCCGGAAAAUCAAGGCUGAGGCGUGAUGACGAGGCACUACGGUGCUGAAGCAACAAAUGCCCUGCUUCCAGGAAAAGCCUCUAAGCAUCAGGUAACAUCAAAUCGUACCCCAAACCGACACAGGUGGUCAGGUAGAGAAUACCAAGGCGCUUGAGAGAACUCGGGUGAAGGAACUAGGCAAAAUGGUGCCGUAACUUCGGGAGAAGGCACGCUGAUAUGUAGGUGAAGCGACUUGCUCGUGGAGCUGAAAUCAGUCGAAGAUACCAGCUGGCUGCAACUGUUUAUUAAAAACACAGCACUGUGCAAACACGAAAGUGGACGUAUACGGUGUGACGCCUGCCCGGUGCCGGAAGGUUAAUUGAUGGGGUUAGCGCAAGCGAAGCUCUUGAUCGAAGCCCCGGUAAACGGCGGCCGUAACUAUAACGGUCCUAAGGUAGCGAAAUUCCUUGUCGGGUAAGUUCCGACCUGCACGAAUGGCGUAAUGAUGGCCAGGCUGUCUCCACCCGAGACUCAGUGAAAUUGAACUCGCUGUGAAGAUGCAGUGUACCCGCGGCAAGACGGAAAGACCCCGUGAACCUUUACUAUAGCUUGACACUGAACAUUGAGCCUUGAUGUGUAGGAUAGGUGGGAGGCUUUGAAGUGUGGACGCCAGUCUGCAUGGAGCCGACCUUGAAAUACCACCCUU
rnacentral:rRNA from 1 species